UCGACAUAUAUUAAGCUUUUGAUGCCUAUGAACACAACCCUAGAGAGGGCAAAGAGAUUACAGUCGUGAGAGGACGAGGGAGAGACAUCCAUGGCAAGCAAGAGCUCGGGUGGAUUCAGUAGUUUUCAGCCUACAAGCCCACAGGCGAGCAUCUGCGAUACACGCACGGAGGGUUACAGUUAGGGGGGUCCUGCCUGAAGAUAUAGUUGUUACACUUCUUCCACAAGUGUCACUAACAGAGCACCACGAAGGUGGGGAAGUCACUUGAUAGAAGGUCGAGGAAGGCGGUGCAGGUUGAAGCAGCUCAAGUCCUCGCUGAUCUUGUAACACCCCGGGGUCCACAAACACCCUAGAAUGGUACUAAAUAACACUUCUGACAUCUAUAUAUAAAAUUUCGGCAGCAUCCCCUUUGCAAUUUGCAUAAAUGAGGGGGCAACAGUGUAUAAACUUAUAUCAUGACAAAAACAUACUAAGUAUUAUUAAUCGGCUAGCAAAGAGAAGUUAAACAUACGACAUGAUCUGAAUUAACUAGUGCGCACGACUAGUUAAAAAACAAACUUCCUUUGACAAUAAGUUCUAAUUAAAUCAUGGCUGCGCCUGGGCAGCGUUAUUGUGAGAGUGAAAGUGGACGUGCUGCUACUCCCCUCAUUCCCAGCAUGUAUAAAGUACCUGCAUUGAGUAAUGCAAGAGUGAGAUGACACAUCUCAGCAAGUAAAAUAAUAUCAAACUGUUUAACCACAUAAGAACAUUGUUUUACCACCACUUGAUUCCACAACCUUCUUAUUACGAAGGUGCAGCACGUAUACAACGUACAACACACCUAGUCACCACACCUCGCAGGUGGAAACCACAAUAGUAACAUAGUAAUGUCACACUUCAUAUAUGCCUCAUGAGUGCAAAUGUCUGCAAAUGCAAGAAUGACUUCUGCCUUCAUAUCUCUAAGGAUAUGAAGCCGCAUCGUACCCCUCCUCGGGCAACGUACAAUGCUAAAAAUGUACCGGUACAGUCGGACCAUAAGAUCGCGACAUAACUUCAAAAUGCAAGAUGGAUGAUGCGAUGUGCAUGUCAUGCCUACAACACUUCAUAUAACGUGAUUCAAAAAGAUACUUCAACUUCAUCCAAGAUGGGAAUCAACCACGUAUAUCAUUACCAAAUUAUGAUCAUCCACAAUAUUAGACAAUUGAGAAUUAAUACUUUCAAACAAAUAAACUUCAUCAUAGAAUUCAAUGAUUAACAUAAUUAUAACUUAUGCAUACUCAAUGACAGGGAUUAGGAUGCAAACCAAACGGUAGCAACCACCACUGUAUUUACUUGCCUUUACCGGGAGUUCGGGCAAAUCCCUAAGUACGAUCCGGAAGUCUACCACCUGUUUUUGACACACAACUUAGUGCACCAAUUUCACAUAAUCAGGCUCAUAAACGACGCCGCACCUACGCACAAACUCAAACCCCGCCGCGGGUUACAUCUCUCCCCACUCCCACCAAACUGCAGCGACGCUGCUUAAUAAUUUCAUAACUUUAAAAUUAUGACAUCAGUGGUAACAAACAAAAACUCCAGAGGCAUCUACAUAAAAUUCCCCACAAGUUUUGUAUAUAAUUUAUAAUUAAAUUCCAACAUUUAAUUAGCCCAAAAUAGUCCACAAGAUGAACCCUGUAAUCUGUUUUUUUGUCUUUUGGCAGCGACAUACCCGGAUUCAAACAGCGAUAUCUUUUAAAAUAUAAUUCCAAAUCAAGCGCAUAAGUACUCAUUGGAAAGAUAAGACAAAGCCCUACAUGAUUAUCAUACUGGUUAACACUAAUUACCCACGAAAAAUUCCCAGAAACUGCUAAUACUACUGCUGUUCACCCACCUGAAAAAUCUGUUUUUUGGACAGCAACAUAACCGGAUUUAAACAAUGAUAUCUCCUAAAUUAUAACUCCGAAUCGAGCGCAUAAGUACUCGUUGGAAAGGUAUGACAAAGCUCUACAUGAUUCUCCCACUGAUCCCCACUAAUUGCCCACGAAAAAUUCCCAGAAAUCCCUAGAACUACUGCUGUUCGUCCACCCACUAAAUUUCUGGACAACACCUCUACCAAAUCGCAUAGGUAAACAUAUAACCAAUUGGAUUGCAGCACAAAUACAACAAAAUGAUCACGAAAAUCACCUUGGGUUCCUCCCUUCCUCCUUCUUUUCUUCCUUCUUCCUCCCUCCAAACUCCCAUGGAAGACUCGCACCCACACGACGGACACCAAGCGGGAAGGCUCCACCUUGGAGAGGAAGAGGUGGGGGGCUAGGGUUGAGGGGUGGAGCUGCAAUCACUUGGGGAAGAAGGAGAGGAAUUGGGGCGGCUGCAAGAGUGGAAGAGAGGAAGAGAGAGGGGGGAGGGGCGGCCAAAGGGAUGGGG
rnacentral:lncRNA from 1 species